GAUGAACGCUGGCGGCGUGCCUAAUACAUGCAAGUCGAGCGAACAGACGAGGUUCUUGCUCCACUGACGUUACCGGCGGACGGGUGAGUAACAAGUGGCUUACCUACCUAUAAGACUUGGCUAACUGCGGGAAACCGGAACUACUACCGGGUAAUAUAUUGAACUGCAUGGUUCAGUAGUGUAACGCGGGUUUGCGGUCACUUAUCGAUGGAUCCGCUCCGCAUUAGCUAGUUGGUAAGGUAACGGCUUACCGAGGCAACGAUGGGUAGCCGAGCUGAGCGGGUGAAGGGGCCCUCUGGAACUGAGAGACGGUCCUGACUCCUACGGGAGGCAGAGACAGCGAAUCUACCGAAAAGGGCGAAAGCCUGACGGAGGAACGCAGGGUGAAUGCUGAAGGGCUUCGGAUCGUAAAACUCUGUUAUUGGGGAAGAACAAAUGUGUAAGUAACUAUGCUCGUCUUGACGGUACCUGAUCAGAAAGCCACGGCUAACUACGUG
rnacentral:rRNA from 1 species